CCUUUGCCCGUCUAGAGGAGGGGGCCUAGUACAGCCUCUGAGCCCUCCUUUGGCAAAGCAGACGUAGUGGUUGUCCUGGUAACCAGGGGGGUGGGUCGCUGCCUUGCCAAAGGGAUUGAAGUUCAGUCGGGCCAAAGGGGAAAGUGGUCUAGCCACUUCACCGGAUCCACGCCAGGGCUUGCCAAUCCACUGGAUUCUCCCCGGACCAAUCUCUGCGACUCGGUGAAGUGCCCUUCCAGUGGGGACUAGGCUUAGAGCUGUACCCUCGCCUCUUAGAUCUGCUCUCCAAUGCACGACUCAAGUCUCCGAAAGUCCGCUUCUGGCCGCCAGCCCCUUUCCCUACGGCAAGCUUGGAAGCUAGGGAGCGCCUCAGGAGUCUGCGCGUUUAUGGCAGUGCGGACUAGCUCUAGGGAUGGCAGCUGGUCUACAGAACUGCACAUCUAUGCUGAACAGGCUAAUCCUACUCAAGACUUGACCAGUUCCAGCUUUGAGCCACGUGAAGGCCAACUGCCCUGAGAUGAUGAGCUCCUGCUUCCAAAUUGGUUUGUUUUGUUUUUGCCUUUUAAAAACCGUCUUGAGUUUAUUAUGGCCAAAGGCUAGGUGAGCGGGGAACCUGCUCAUAGCCGACCUUGAGAAAUGUAGGCAGAACGUCCAUUGGCAGCAGAGAGCUGAGGAAGUGUUGGGCUGAGCCUUACAAGAGAUGCUGCAGCAGAAGCCUGAGCUCUCCCUUCUGAUGGCUGGCUGGGAAGUCAGGUGAGUGUGGACUUCAGAGCCUGGAAGGAGGCCAAGGCCAUGGUGGGAAGUGUCUGUUGUUCAAGUAUAGCUGGGCCUUCAUCUAUGGGGCUUAGGCUGUAACCUCACUUCACAUAAUCUGGUAUUGUUGGGACCAGAACCAUCCCACAACUAUGUGUGGCUACACCUAGCCCUCAGGCUAGGGCAAUCUCCAGAGGGAUCCCAUGACCUUCUGUUUCCAGAUUCCCAGACAGAAUGGACAGGUGAGUGGCCCUCUGCUUCUUGAGAGGGCUGGAGCCGGUGUGUGAACACAGCCACCUGUUGGCCAUGGUUGGUAUUGCCACAGGCAGUGCUCAGGUGAGAGGGGUUGCUAGCCUUACCGGAUCAGCGGUCUAGAAACUGGAUGUUAAGUCUCACUGGAAGCCACUCUCAUGUGCAGGGUCUACAAAUAACUUUUAUUGAAAUUGAACAAAUAACACAACAGUCUUCCAGUGCUGGGGAUCACUCGCCCCAAGCCAUUUCCCACACUCUAGAAGCACAGAGCUUCCACAAGGAAGUAUUUUUUUUUUAAAGCCAUCUCUGUAUAGAAAUCAGACUCUGCCCCAACAUUAUCAUAGUCUAGACUAUUUACAAACCUUCACAUUUUAAUUACGCCUUUUAUGUAUUUUUCCCCUCCUUUCUAUCCUUACCAAGGAGCUCCAGUACUUUCCCUUAACAGACCCUGAAGGGGUAAAGAUACUGUAGGAGAGAGGGGAUGGGCUCCUCAUAGCUACUGGCACCAGCCCCAGUCCUUUCUUACCACUAGGUGGUGGACUGCCUUUCCCCUACAACUGGGGAUUUGUGGGACUGGUGCAAAGACAAGGGAGACGACGGAACAUGUGGUUUGGGGCAAGUCCCCACAGGUACAGGCGUCGGUAGCCUGUCCUGACCCCGGCCUGUACCCUCUCAACUUGAGGGCAACUGGUUGAAAUCAAGGGAGAUCAUUCCAGCCCUGGGUGAGAGGAGAAGCCUCCCACAGGUCCCCCAUUCUUAGUGAACAGCCAGCAAAGUGUCCAGCUUAAGAGCGGGAGCACGUAGUAGGUAGGCAGGAAGGGUGAGGCUGGUACAUAUCUCCAGUCUGUCCGAUACAGGAGGAAUCGAGGUAGCAAACGGCUGAAAUGCUCUGACUAGGGGGGAAGGGGAGUGAGGGAAAAGGAAGUUCCCACUUGGGUAGAGCCCCUACAGCCCAGGGGCCGGAAGAAGGCAGACUCUGCUUGUAAAGUGCUGUAGCUUCUAGGAGGGCUGGGCCCUAGGCAAGCCUGGAAGAAAGCAGGUCAGGCAGGUAACCAGGAACCAGGCAUUCCUGACCGGCAUGUGUCUCCUGCCAUGCUUCUCGCACAAGCAGCUGGGGGAGAUGGGCUGGUAGUUCUGUCAUUAGCCCUCACCAGCCACCAACCACUUAAUUGUUCAGACAUCAACCAAUACCAGUUAACACUGAGGGACUGCCCCUCUUACAACUGAAGGUUCUGGGCCAAUGGAGUUUAGUUUAUUCAAGGUUGUGGCACCAGCCUGGACUCCUGAAUGGAAGCUACACCUUGAUCCUGGGAGUUUCUUGCUGGGGCAGUGGGUGCUCGUGUCUGCCAUGCCACACGCAGAUUCAUACUUCAUAGAGGAUCACAGGGAAAUCCACGUGGAUUCGGGGAGGAUCCAGCUUCACGAUGCCCUGCCAUGGAAACAGAGGCUAGCGAAGAUCAGCUCUGGGCCUCUAUGCUAAGAGCCUCUCUGUUCUUCCCAGCUCUUCCCCCAGAAAGCCCCAUCUGUAUCCCCGUUGACAUACUGAUGUAAGGCUUUAUGAUCACUGCUCAGCCCCUCACCUGAGGAAUCAGAUUCUUAUGUACCCGCCUCAGCUUGGCUCGCUUCUGCCCAUUCUUUGUGACGAUUGUCUCCUCAUAGAAUUCGUGAGCCAGAUCUCCAUCUUCAUCAUAGAACAUGGAGCUGUGUAGAGAAGGGAAACAGGCUGGAUUGGAGCCUCAUACCUGGCCUUGGCAAGUGCCACAGACCACAGGGAAGUAUGCUGAACCCCAAGAGAAGACACAAUGACACUAUUCUCGGAGGUCCAACUUCACAGCGAGGAAGGCAAGACAUCUAAACAGAAGGUCACUUUCCCUUAGAUUGCUUCUAAGGCUUAGAAGAACAGAAGGAACAUAAAUGCCUUUAAUUUGCAGGCUGAGUUGGAUGAAAGGAGGUCUUAAGGCUCUCAGAGGCCGUCUCAGCUGAAUUAUGGAGCUGCUCCCUAAGAGACAAACCUCAGCCAAUUCUCUAAAAGGACCAUCUGGGCGGUCAAGAGCUGAACGCCGCUUGGUUUUCCCUUCUCCUUGCUUUGACUGGGACCCAAAAUAUGACAGUCGUCUGAUUCAAAUGUAGGGGGGCGUUUCUCGUUCCCGGAUGUCCUCCCAAAGGCAGAUGCCCAUGCCCUUACCCGCGGC